rnacentral:rRNA from 1 species
UUACAUCGUCUUCGGAGCAUUUUACGAGGUGCUGCAUGUUGUCGUCAGCUCGUGCCGUGAGGUGUCGGGUUAAGUCCCAUAACGAGCGCAACCCCUACCUUUAGUUGCCAUCAGGUAAUGCUGGGGACUCUAAAGGAACUGCCUACGCAAGUAGUGAGGAAGGCGGGGAUGACGUCAAAUCAGCACGGCCCUUACGUCCAGGGCUACACACGUGCUACAAUGGCCGAUACAGAGGGCAGCUACCUGGUGACAGGAUGCAAAUCUCCAAAGUCGGUCUCAGUUCGGAUCGGAGUCUGCAACCCGACUCCGUGAAGUUGGAUUCGCUAGUAAUCGCGCAUCAGCCAUGGCGCGGUGAAUACGUUCCCGGGCCUU